rnacentral:lncRNA from 1 species
GUAUUUUUUAGUAGAGACAGGGUUUCACCAUGUUGGCCAGGCUGGUCUCGAACUCCUGGCCUCAGGUGAUCCGCCUGACUCGGCUUCCCAAAGUGCUGGGAUUACAGGCGUGAGCCACUGCACCUGGCACCCAUCAUCUUUCUUUGACUAGCACCAUAGCGUCCUUGUUGGUUAGAACCCUUCCAACCUAUCUCACACUGACUACCACAGGGAUCUUUCUAAAUGCCAAAAUUCGGGCUGUGGUGCCUCCGCCUCACCUAAAGGAUGAGGACCAAUGCCUCGGAAACAUUCUAAGAAGCCUAACAGGCCAGUCCCCAUCCCCUUCUCCAGAAGCGCAUCUCCCUCUUCCCGCACAGGCCCUGCGGCAUUUCCCAGAUGUGACAGGCUUGUUCCUCCCUCCGUAAUGUCCUUCCACCUCUUUGUCUUGUAUAAACUCCUCUUUAGUCCUUAAGGACUGAAUAGGGACCCUCCCCAGGCUGAGUGAAGUCCUAUGUGGGUCGUCAUCGACACGCCUGUCUCCUGCACCAGAGGGAGAGUCCCCAGGAGGUCUCUCUUGUCCAGAUCCUCUCCGUACUUCGGUGCAGACACUGGCACGUGCUGGGUGCCCAGCAAAUGUGUUGAAGGAACGAUUGGAUGGGGUCCGGGUGGUGCGGGGUCGGGGAGUGCCUGGCCUGUGGGAUCGGGGGAGCUCCAGUCCAGCUUGAGCUCCACCAUGGACCAGCUCUGUGGUGUCGGACAAGGGUGCCCCUUGCUGAGCCCAGUUUCCUCAUCUGUUAAAUGGGGACAGUGAUGCCACCUUUAGGGGCUGUUGCAGGAUGGAAGGGGCAAAGUGCCCUAAAUGAACAGUGCUCUCAGAGGUCUAGGAUUCUGAAUCAGGAACCCCUGUUUUGCAGGGUGCUUUCUUCUGCGACCUGGUACUCAUCUACCUCAUCAAAAAGAGAGAGUUUUACCGUGACAAGAAGUACGAGGAAGUGAGGGGCCUAGAAGACAGUUCCCAGGAGGCCGAGGACGAGGCAUCGGGGCUGGGGCUAUCUGAGCAGCUCACAUCUGGGCCAGGGCUGCUGGGGAUGCCGGAGCAGCAGGAGCUGCAGGAGCCACCCGAGGCGAAGCGUGGAAGCAGCAGUCAGAAGGGGAACGGAUCUGUGUGCCCACAGCUCCUGGAGCCCCACAGGUAAUGAACUUCUCCUGACGCUGGCGCUUAAGACCCAGUCUCCCCUGUCAAAAAUGGACAUGAAGUACGUUUCGAUGUUGGGCUUGGGAGCUGACUAGCUCUCUUCUCCUACCCCGUUGUAUGUGAGUUGUCUCCCCGUAAACCCAAGGAGCACGUGAAUUGCCUCUGCUUACGUUCAGGCCCUGUCCUAAACCCAGCCGUCUAGCACCCAGUGAUCCCAUGCCUUUGGGAAUCCCAGGAUGCUGCCCAACGGGAAAUUUGUACAUUGGGUGCUAUCAAUGCCACAUCACAGGGACCAGCCAUCACAGAGCAAAGUGACCUCCACGUCUGAUGCUGGGGUCAUCAGGACGGACCCAUCAUGGCUGUCUUUUUGCCCCACCCCCUGCCGUCAGUUCUUCCUUUCUCCGUGGCUGGCUUCCCGCACUAGGGAACGGGUUGUAAAUGGGGAACAUGACUUCCUUCCGGAGUCCUUGAGCACCUCAGCUAAGGACCGCAGUGCCCUGUAGAGUUCCUAGAUUACCUCACUGGGAAUAGCAUUGUGCGUGUCCGGAAAAGGGCUCCAUUUGGUUCCAGCCCACUCCCCUCUGCAAGUGCCGCAGCUUCCCUCAGAGCAUACUCUCCAGUGGAUCCAAGUACUCUCUCUCCUAAAGACACCACCUUCCUGCCAGCUGUUUGCCCUUAGGCCAGUACACAGAAUUAAAGUGGGGGAGAUGGCAGACGCUUUCUGGGACCUGCCCAAGAUAUGUAUUCUCUGACACUCUUAUUUGGUCAUAAAACAAUAAAUGGUGUCAAUUUC